rnacentral:lncRNA from 1 species
GCCUGACUGACUUGAGUUCAAGCCUCAAAUCUUGAAGGUGUGAUGGCACUCCCUUAGCCUGCUCCUUUAUUCUGCAAGAACUUAGCACCAUUGAGCCCCCGAAAAAGAAACUGUCCCUAGAGCCAGGCUGUGCCCACCACCACCUGCACAUCUCCCAGAACUUCCCACUCCCACAGCAGGGAAAGCUCAAACCUUUAGCAGAGCCAUUUUGACACACUUGUUGACUCCAAGCAUAACAGAAAACAGACACUGACAUCCAUGGCCCCUCAGGAAACAUGAACACUGGCCUUAACUUGCACCUUUCCAUGCACCUUUCUGCUUAACUGCUUCCACACAAACAUCCUGUGUUUUAAAUGCAUCACCUCCAUUGGCAGCCAAGAGUCAAGUUUACUCUUAGUCAACUCUGAACUGCUCCCACAUCCCUGGAAGCAGCUGCUGAUACAAUAAAGAGAUCCGACACCAUGCCAGCAGCUCGCAAUUAACAGUUAAUGAAAUACAGCCUCCCUUGUCCUCCUCUUUCAGGAGAUAAGCUUCACAGACAGCAGCACCCCACCAGGCUUAGCCCAGGGUGCUGGGCUGCACCAGGGCCACAGCCACAGCCGUAGCCAUUUGUCUGCACCUCCAAACCCUGCCUGCAACAGAGGGUGUCCUCCUAGAGUUACAGCCACCUCAGCUCUCUGACAGGACAGGCAAUGCCCUUUAGAAGUGCUCCGGGAAGGAACGGAGGCUGUCUGUAAAUUGCAGUUUAAAACCAUAAUACCCCUGCAUUGAACUGUCGUCAGAUGGUUGCAGUUUUCUAAUCUGCAUUUUGUCUGAAGGAAAUGAGAAGCAGAAUUUCUCCUUCCUCCAAAGCCCUGUUAAUUUUAAUCCUUUUGCAUGGAGCUGGAUUCAUGCUGCGGCCAGGGCAUUAAACCUGAAACAAGGUGGAUCCAAAUGGAAAAAAAUGUAGAUGAUUACUGGCCAUCUGCCAAAAAGACGCUUGGGGACGUGAAAAUUCUGGAAUCAGUGAAGGUUCAUUUUGAUCAAAUAUUCAUAUUCUGAGCCAUGUGUCAACAAUUUUACUGUUUAAAGACAAGAAGGUUGUGGAGGGGAAUACUGACACCAUCCUUCACAGGGGAGUUUACUUUCAGACUUCUUACAUAAAGAAGAAUAUGUUGUUAAAGAAGAAUGGAGCAAACAUUAAGAUUUGUUCACAUGAAGGUGCAAAAGCACUGGAAACAGGGAAAGGGGGUGGGUGGGGAACAGAGAGGUCAUAGUAACGCACUCAGCUUUUAAGUUAAGAUUAACCAUAUGUAUGGACAUUUGGGAAAUGCUUCAUGUAUUUUCAUUUCCACAGAUUCAUUGUACUAAUACCAUUAGACAGAACUAUCUUUUUUAACUGAAGGAGCUGCAGUCCUGCAGGCUCACAUGUAUAGCUGGAGUCCUAGAUUUGGAGGCCUGAAUAUAAAGACUAGCCAACACCUUCUCAUUGCAUUCAUUCUGUGAUACUUAAUUUCUCUGCUACUGAAGGGCAGCUCUUUCUUGGAAAAAAUUGCCUUCUCCAUCACGUUUGGUCCACUUAUUGCAGGAUAGCUUAACAAGAUCUUUCUGCGAUCAGCAACAAGAUUUUUCCAGCAGAAUAUUUUUCUAUUCCUGAGCAUUUCACAAACCACCUCUGAUUUUCUCAAGCAGAUUUGAUAAGCUAUGUUAUUCAAAUAUACAUCAACUCAUGGGCUGUGCAGAAUGUUCUUGUGUGAUUUGUCUUCAUUACUGCUCCAGUUUGAUUGCACAUCUCGGUUACAGGAACCACGCAUGACAGACUGUUGCUUCCUAGUAAGCUGAGCCUAAAUGAGAUAAACCAGUGAAAUUCUGUAAACAGAUGAAAUGGUUUUGAGGGCUGUUCUGCCCAUGGAAGAUUGAUUUGUGCUCCACCUAUUCUAUCCUUGCUUCCUUGGCACUUGCAUUUCCUCAACAAACAUGCCAUGAAUAUAAAAAUGUGAAACAAGUAAUUAAAACUAGCCAUAAAUGGGAGAAUUCCUACUGCAGGGAAAUCCAUUUGGAC